rnacentral:lncRNA from 1 species
AAAUCUUAAUUGAUCAAAACUUUUUUUUUUAAUAAAACCUCGAGACAUGAAUUUAGGCCCGAUCAUAUGGACCUAAGUCAUUGAACCUCAACCCAUCCGUAUUAAAUCAACACUUUGACUCUAAACNCUAAGCAGCAACCCCAUAGAGUCGUCGUCGACAGCCGCGGUGCUCGAUUCGUCGAGCUCCGCCAUGUCUCAGCCCUGCCUCUACCGAGCUUCACCGAGCUUUGCCUUGUCUUCCCUUGUCGUCGGCAGCCGCGGUGCUCAAUCCGUCGAGCUCCACCGAGUCCCGCUGCCGUCCUCGACUCGAAGCCGCGCCACCCGCAGCUGAUCUGCCUGAAGCCGCGCCACCCGCGGCCGAUCCGCCCGAAGCCGCGCCACCCGCUGCCGAUCCGCCCGAAGCCGCGCCACCCGCGGCUAAUUCGUCGAUGCCCAUGCCGAACCGCCGCCCAUGACUCUGCUCGUGAUCUAAGCCGAUCCGUCGACGCCCGCGCGCCGUCGUCAACUUUGAUGGCUCGAACCCGAGGAGUUCCCUCUGAUGCCGCGUCGCUCCACCUCGAAGGCCGCAACCCCGUCGAUGCCCCGCCGCUGUCGUGGCCCUUCACCGCUGCAGAGUAUCGCCGUCACGACCCUCCUCCGUCGCGGUCUCAGAUCCGCGGCUCCACUGUCGGGUCACAGCCCCAGCGGAGCUCCGGCAUCAGCAAAGCCCGCCAGCUGCUCGACGGCGAUCCUGAGAGAGAGAGCGGUGCUCUCCUCUCAAACGGGUUCCGCCCGCCAAGUGCUUGAUGUGCCCGGAGUCCGCCCACCAACCGCUCGACGGCGAUCCUGAGAGAGAGAGCGGUGCUCUCCUCUCAAACGGGUUCCACCCGCCAAGUGCUCGAUGUGCCCGGAGUCCUCCCACCAACCGCUCGACGGCGAAUCUGAGAGAGAGAGCGGUGCUCUCUUCUCAAACAACGGCAAAUUCGAGAGAGAGAGAGAGAGAGCAGUGCUCUCCUUUCAAAUGAAGUUAGAUCCACUCGCCAAGUGCUCGACGGCGAAAUUGAGAGAGAGAGCGAUGCUCUCCUCUCAAAUGAAGUCAAGUCCGCCAACCGCUCCGACAACGAAUCCGAGAGAGAGAGAGCGGUGCUCUCCUCUCAAACAAAGUUCGCCCGCUAAUUGCUAGGUGGCGAAUCAUAAAGAGAGCGAUGCUCUCAUUUACCGACUAAUCAUUCGACGAAAUACUUCGUCGUCGACGUGCUAAUCAAACCGCUCGAUGGAAUGCCGAGAUGAACAUCGAUGGUGCUUUUUGCAAAAUAUCACCAAAAAGAGAGAUCACUCUAAAAGAGAGAGAGAGCUUUGACAAAAUCACAUUAGACGCUUCAAAUUAAAUUGAAAUUUAAUUUGUUAUUCAAAUCCAGAAUUUGAAGAAAAUGUAUAUGAAAAUCUUAAUUGAUCAAAACUUUUUUUUUUAAUAAAACCUCGAGACAUGAAUUUAGGCCCGAUCAUAUGGACCUAAGUCAUUGAACCUCAACCCAUCCGUAUUAAAUCAACACUUUGACUCUAAACCCAUCUAAACCCAUUAACCUUAACCUCACUCAAAAUCCAUUAACCGUUACCUAUAACCCAAUCCAAUUAAACCUUAGCCCAAUUCUAAACCUAUAACCUAUAACCCAAUCCAAUUAAAUCUAAGCCUAGUCCAAAGCCCAGAGCCCAUUUACAAAUGGCCCCGGUCCAAAACCCAUUUGGGCCCACUAUCUAAACCCAUUAUCCAAAACUCAUUAAAACCAUUAACCCAUGAACCCAUAUACAUAAACCUAUAUACAUUUACCCAUGAACCCGUACACAUUUAACCCAUAUCCAAGCCCAUAACUUUAACCAAGUCCAUGAACUUUGAACCAAAACCAUGGACCAAACCAUACACCAAAUCCUGUGGACCAUACCAUACACCAAAUCCACGAACUAUGAAUCAAGUUCAUGAAUCAAAUCAAGUUCAUGAACCAGGGAUCAUAGACCACAAACCAUACACCAAGUUCAUGAACCAUAAACCCAUGAACCAUAAAUCCAUGAACCAUAAGUCCAUGAACCAUAAACCCAUACACCAAGUUCAUGAACCAUAAACCCAUGAACCAUAAGUCCAUGAACCACAAACCCAUGAACCGUAAGUCCAUGAACCAUAAAUCCAUGAAUCAUGGACUUCAUGAACCAUAAGUCCAUGAACCAUAAACCCAUGAACCAUAAGUCCAUGAACCANCGCCGCCGGCGUAGACCCCCUCUUGCGCGGCCCCCACCGAUCGAAGCCGCACGAGGUCGCUCAAAGCUCCCUCAUCACCAUCGAGCCGGCCGCGCUAAACCCUUCCACUCGGCCGCUCCACUGAGCUCGCCGCCCUCAAUCGCUCGAAGCCGCUCCGGCCUUAGCCGCUCGAAGGCCCGCUGCUGUCCUUGACUCGAAGCCGCGCCACCCGCGGCCGAUACUUUCGAAGCCGCGCCACCCGCGGCAGGUCCGCCCGAAGCCACACAGAGGCUCCGUCGAAGUCGCUGUCCUCUCGAAGCCGCGCCACCAGCGGCCGGUCCUCUCGAAGCCGCGCCACCCGCGGCCGGUCCUCUCGAAGCCGCGCCACCCGCGGCCGAUCCGCCNCCCGAAGCCGCGCCACCCGCGGCCGAUACUUUCGAAGCCGCGCCACCCGCGGCAGGUCCGCCCGAAGCCACGCAGAGGCUCCGUCGAAGUCGCCGUCACCCGAAGCCGCGCCACCCGCGGCCGGUCCUCUCGAAGCCGCGCCACCCGCGGCCGGUCCUCUCGAAGCCGCGCCACCCGCGGCCGAUCCGCCCGAAGCCGCGCCACCCGCGGCCAAUUCGUCGAUGCCCAUGCCGAGCCGCCGCCCAUAACUCUGCUCGUGAUCUUGGCCGAGCCGCGCCACCCGCGCGCCGUCGUCGACUUUGAUGGCUCGAACCCGAGGAGUUCCCUCUAAUGCCGCGUCGCUCCACCUCGAAGGCCGCAGCCCCGUCGAUGCCACGCCGCUGUCGUGGCCCUUCACCGCUGCAGAGCGUCGUCGUCACGGCCCUCCUCCGUCGUGGUCUCAGAUCCGCGGCUCCACUGUCAGGUCACAGCCCCAGCGAAGCUCCGUCAUCAACAAAGCCCGCCAGCUGCUCGACGGCGAUCCUGAGAGAGAGAGCGGUGCUCUACUCUCAAACGGAGUCCGCCCACCAACCGCUCGACGGCGAACCUGAGAGAGAGAGCGGUGCUCUCCUCUUAAAUGAAUUUAGAUCCGCUCGCCAAGCGCUCGACGACGAAAUUGAGAGAGAGAGCGGUGCUCUCCUCUCAAAUGAAGUCAAGUCCGCCAACCGCUCCGACGACGAAUCCGAGAGAGAGAGCGGUGCUCUCCUCUCAAACAAAGUUCGCCCGCUAAUUGCUCGGUGGCGAAUCAUAAAGAGAGCGAUGCUCUCAUUUACCGACCAAUCAUUCGACGAAAUACUUCGUCGUCGACGUGCUAAUCAAACCGCUCGAUGGAAUGCCGAGAUGAACAUCGAUGGUGCUCUUUGCAAAAUAUCACCAAAAAGAGAGAUCACUCUAAAAGAGAGAGAGAGCUUUGACAAAAUCACAUUAGACACUUCAAAUUAAAUUGAAAUUUAAUUUGUUAUUCAAAUCCAGAAUUUGAAGAAAAUGUAUAUGAAAAUCUUAAUUGAUCAAAAAUUUUUUUUUUUAAUAAAACCUCGAGACAUGAAUCUAGGCCCGAUCAUAUGGACCUAAGUCAUUGAACCUCAACCCAUCCGUAUUAAAUCAACACUUUGACUCUAAACCCAUUUAACCCAAUCUAAUCUAAACCCAUUAACCUUAACCUCACUCAAAAUCCAUUAACCGUUACCUAUAACCCAAUCCUAUAACCUAAUCCAAUUAAACCUUAGCCCAAUUCUAAACCCAUAACCUAUAACCCAAUCCAAUUAAAUCUAGGCCUAGUCCAAAGCCCAGAGCCCAUUUACAAAUGGCCCCAGUCCAAAACCCAUUUGGGCCCACUAUCUAAGCCCAUUAUCCAAAACUCAUUAAAACCAUUAACCCAUAAACCCAUAUACAUAAACCUAUAUACAUUUACCCAUGAACCCAUACACAUUUAACCCAUAUCCAAGCCCAUAACCUUAACCAAGUCCAUGAACUUUGAACCAAAACCAUGGACCAAACCAUACACCAAAUCCUGUGGACCAUACCAUACACCAAAUCCACGAACUAUGAAUCAAGUUCAUGAAUCAAAUCAAGUUCAUGAGCCAUGGAUCAUAAACCACAAACCAUACACCAAGUUCAUGAACCAUAAACCCAUGAACCAUAAGUCCAUGAACCAUAAACCCAUGAACCAUAAGUCCAUGAACCAUAAACCCAUGAACCAUAAGUCCAUGAACCAUAAACCCAUGAACCAUAAGUCCAUGAACCAUAAACCCAUGAACCAUAAGUCCAUGAACCAUAAACCCAUGAACCAUAAGUCCAUGAACCAUAAACCCAUGAACCAUAAGUCCAUGAACCAUAAACCCAUGAACCAUAAGUCCAUGAACCAUAAACCCAUGAACCAUAAGUCCAUGAACCAUAAACCCAUGAACCAUAAGUCCAUGAACCAUAAACCCAUGAACCAUAAGUCCAUGAACCAUAAACCCAUGAACCAUAAGUCCAUGAACCAUAAACCCAUGAACCAUAAGUCCAUGAACCAUAAACCCAUGAACCAUAAGUCCAUGAACCAUAAACCCAUGAACCAUAUCUAAGUUCAUGAACCAUAAUCCCAUAUACCCAAUACCAUAAACCUUGUGAACCAAACCCAAACCUUCGACCGAAACGUCGUUAAACUAAUCCACCAAAUCAACCGACCGAAACGUCGUUAAACUAAACCUAAAUCCGAUAUCGACCGAAAUGUCGUUAAACUAAACUCAA